CCAGACUCCUACGGGAGGCAGCAGUGGGGAAUAUUGGGCAAUGGGCGCAAGCCUGACCCAGCAACGCCGCGUGAAGGAAGAAGGCUUUCGGGUUGUAAACUUCUUUUAAGAGGGAAGAGCAGAAGACGGUACCUCUUGAAUAAGCCACGGCUAACUACGUGCCAGCAGCCGCGGUAAUACGUAGGUGGCAAGCGUUGUCCGGAUUUAUUGGGUGUAAAGGGUGCGUAGACGGGAAUGCAAGUUAGUUGUGAAAUCCCUCGGCUUAACUGAGGAACUGCAACUAAAACUACAUUUCUUGAGUGCUGGAGAGGAAAGUGGAAUUCCUAGUGUAGCGGUGAAAUGCGUAGAUAUUAGGAGGAACACCAGUGGCGAAGGCGACUUUCUGGACAGUAACUGACGUUGAGGCACGAAAGUGUGGGGAGCAAACAGGAUUAGAUACCCGCGUAC
rnacentral:rRNA from 1 species